rnacentral:rRNA from 1 species
GUGGGUAACCUGCCCUUAAGUGGGGGAUAACAUUUGGAAACAGAUGCUAAUACCGCAUAGAUCCAAGAACCGCAUGGUUCUUGGCUGAAAGAUGGCGUAAGCUAUCGCUUUUGGAUGGACCCGCGGCGUAUUAGCUAGUUGGUGAGGUAAUGGCUCACCAAGGCGAUGAUACGUAGCCGAACUGAGAGGUUGAUCGGCCACAUUGGGACUGAGACACGGCCCAAACUCCUACGGGAGGCAGCAGUAGGGAAUCUUCCACAAUGGACGCAAGUCUGAUGGAGCAACGCCGCGUGAGUGAAGAAGGCUUUCGGGUCGUAAAACUCUGUUGUUGGAGAAGAAUGGUCGGCAGAGUAACUGUUGUCGGCGUGACGGUAUCCAACCAGAAAGCCACGGCUAACUACGUGCCAGCAGCCGCGGUAAUACGUAGGUGGCAAGCGUUAUCCGGAUUUAUUGGGCGUAAAGCGAGCGCAGGCGGUUUUUUAAGUCUGAUGUGAAAGCCCUCGGCUUAACCGAGGAAGCGCAUCGGAAACUGGGAAACUUGAGUGCAGAAGAGGACAGUGGAACUCCAUGUGUAGCGGUGAAAUGCGUAGAUAUAUGGAAGAACACCAGUGGCGAAGGCGGCUGUCUGGUCUGUAACUGACGCUGAGGCUCGAAAGCAUGGGUAGCGAACAGGAUUAGAUACCCUGGUAGUCCAUGCCGUAAACGAUGAAUGCUAGGUGUUGGAGGGUUUCCGCCCUUCAGUGCCGCAGCUAACGCAUUAAGCAUUCCGCCUGGGGA